CGUCCGUAGCUCAGUUGGUUAGAGCACCACCUUGACAUGGUGGGGGUCGGUGGUUCGAGUCCACUCGGACGCACCAU
rnacentral:tRNA from 1 species